rnacentral:tRNA from 1 species
GUCCCUGUAGCGAAAUGGAUAGCGUAAUCCAAAGGUCGUUGGUUCGAAUCCCACCUGGGAGG